AGAAAAUGGCUGCUAUAUUACUAUCUUCAGAACUGAAUAAGAGAAGGGGGUGUCUAUUAUACAAAAAUGAUAAAGAAGUUGACUCUGGAAGCCCAUCGGAUGUUGAGAUAUUAGAAAACCCAACAGAUUCUAAGAAGAGGAAGCUACUCCACGUGCUUGAUGAUAACGAAGUAGUGUAUGAAGAUGAGGAAGGCCCUAUUACUCAAGCAGACUUGCAAAAGUGGUUUGUUGAUGAUUGGGAUAAAAGAACUCCUGUAAAAGUAUCUAACGAUGGGUGCACCAAUGACUUUUUAAUGGUUGGUCUUUCCACAAAGGACAUGCCAGUGACCAAAGCCGAUUCAAUAGAUGUUUUAUGUGAUUAUAUCAUGACAAUAGAAGACGAUACGACACUAGAGUAAGUGCUCAUUGAUUUAUCUAUUUUAUGUAUAUCAACUACUUAGAUUCUUGAUAUAGACUUUCGUCAUGCUACAUUACAGGAUGACAUGGG
rnacentral:misc_RNA from 1 species